CGCACAUUGCGCCCCUUGGUAUUCCGAGGGGCAUGCCUGUUCGAGCGUCAUUACACCACUCCAGCCUCGCUGGGUAUUGGGCGUCGCGGGUCACCGCGCGCCUUAAAGUCUUUCCGGCUGAGCGGCUCGUCUCUAAGCGUUGUGGAAACUAUUCGCGGUGAGAUCGGGCGGCGACGGCCGUUAAAUCUUCUUUCAGGUUGACCUCGGAUCAGGUAGGGAUACCCGCUGAACUUAA
rnacentral:misc_RNA from 1 species